rnacentral:rRNA from 1 species
CUGGUGGCGAGUGGCGAACGGGUGAGUAAUGUAUCGGAACGUACCUUUCAGUGGGGGAUAACGUAGCGAAAGUUACGCUAAUACCGCAUAUUCUGUGAGCAGGAAAGCAGGGGAUCGCAAGACCUUGCGCUGAUUGAGCGGCCGAUAUCAGAUUAGCUAGUUGGUGAGGUAAAGGCUCACCAAGGCGACGAUCUGUAGCGGGUCUGAGAGGAUGAUCCGCCACACUGGAACUGAGACACGGUCCAGACUCCUACGGGAGGCAGCAGUGGGGAAUUUUGGACAAUGGGGGCAACCCUGAUCCAGCCAUGCCGCGUGAGUGAAGAAGGCCUUCGGGUUGUAAAGCUCUUUCGGCCGGGAAGAAAUCGCAUGGGUUAAUACCCUGUGCGGAUGACGGUACCGGCAUAAGAAGCACCGGCUAACUACGUGCCAGCAGCCGCGGUAAUACGUAGGGUGCGAGCGUUAAUCGGAAUUACUGGGCGUAAAGCGUGCGCAGGCGGUUUUGUAAGACAGGCGUGAAAUCCCCGGGCUCAACCUGGGAACUGCGUUUGUGACUGCAAGGCUAGAGUACGGCAGAGGGGGGUGGAAUUCCACGUGUAGCAGUGAAAUGCGUAGAGAUGUGGAGGAACACCAAUGGCGAAGGCAGCCCCCUGGGUCGAUACUGACGCUCAUGCACGAAAGCGUGGGUAGCAAACAGGAUUAGAUACCCUGGUAGUCCACGCCCUAAACGAUGUCAACUAGGUGUUGGGUGGGUAAAACCAUUUAGUACCGGAGCUAACGCGUGAAGUUGACCGCCUGGGGAGUACGGCCGC